UAGGGCUUCACACGUCAUACAAAUGGUCGGGACAGAGGGUCGCCAACCCGCAGGGGGAGCCAAUCCCAGAAACCCGAUCGUAGUCCGGAUUGCAGGCUGCAACUCGCCUGCAUGAAGUCGGAAUCGCUAGUAAUCGCGGAUCAGCAUGUCGCGGUGAAUACGUUCCCGGGUCUU
rnacentral:rRNA from 1 species